rnacentral:miRNA from 1 species
CCCCUAUGAUGAUGAUGAUGAUGAUGAUGAUGAUGAUGAUGAUACUUUUAAGCUGUACAUUUUGAGCGUGUGUGUACCAUCAUCACUAUCUCCAUCACCAUUAUCAUCAUUG